rnacentral:rRNA from 1 species
AGGCGGCAUGCUUUCACAUGCAAGUCGAACGGCAGCACGGAAGAGCUUGCUCUUUUGGUGGCGAGUGGCGAACGGGUGAGUAACAUAUCGGAACGUACCGGAUAGUGGGGGAUAACCAAUCGAAAGAUUGGCUAAUACCGCAUAUACUCUGAGGAGGAAAGCAGGGGACCUUCGGGCCUUGCGCUAUUUGAGCGGCCGAUAUCUGAUUAGGUAGUUGGUGGGGUAGAGGCCUACCAAGCCGACGAUCAGUAGCGGGUCUGAGAGGAUGAUCCGCCACACUGGGACUGAGACACGGCCCAGACUCCUACGGGAGGCAGCAGUGGGGAAUUUUGGACAAUGGGGGGAACCCUGAUCCAGCCAUGCCGCGUGUCUGAAGAAGGCCUUCGGGUUGUAAAGGACUUUUGUCAGGGAAGAAAAGGCAUUUGCUAAUAUCGAGUGCUGAUGACGGUACCUGAAGAAUAAGCACCGGCUAACUACGUGCCAGCAGCCGCGGUAAU